CUGAGAGCAGAACAGAACACAAUCUUCAUCAUCACACAAGACACAACAACAACAAUGAACAACAUCAUCAUCCUCAUCUGGACUCUGACGCUCUGCAUUCAGGAGAUCUGGGGACAAGUGACUGUGACUCAGAAUCCAGAAAUAAAAUCCAUCAAACAAGGAGAAACUGUUACGAUCAGCUGUAAAACCAGACAGUUGACUUCUGACUGUUACGACUGUGUGUCUUGGUAUCAGCAGAAACCUGGAGAAGCUCCUAAACUCCUCAUUUAUGACAUAAGAAGCCUUUAUACAGGAACUCCAUCUAGAUUCAGUGGCAGUGGAUCAAACUAUGGAAGUGAUUUCACUCUGACCAUCAGUGGAGUCCAGACUGAAGAUACAGGAGAUUAUUACUGUAUGAGUCUACAUCUGAUCAGUAGUAGCUAUGUGUUCACACAGUGA